GCGCACUUUGGCAGCGCGUAUCGUAAAAUUGAAACAAUAAAGAGAAGACAUGCAUGGCCUCUGUGCAAAAAUGACAUGCAAAUUCGUGAAGUGUUGCAUAUUUUA
ensembl:snRNA U6 U6 spliceosomal RNA